UGAGCAAUCUGCCCUUCUCAUCGGAAUAAGCGUUGGAAACGACGUCUAAUGCCGAAUACGACCUCCUUUCGCAUGAUCGGAGGUGGAAAGCUCCGGCGGAGAAGGAUGAGCUCGCGGCCUAUCAGCUUGUUGGUGAGGUAAUAGCUCACCAAGGCGAUGGACGGGUAGCCGGCCUGAGAGGGCGACCGGCCACACGUGGGACUGAGAUACCGGCCCAGACCUCGUACGGGAGG
rnacentral:rRNA from 1 species